UCUGUUUUUAUUACCAACCCUGACAAUGCCUGAUCUUGUCUGAUCUCAGAAGCUAAGCAGGGUUGGGAACAUACCAUGUAUUAAGAAGUGGAC
rnacentral:rRNA from 1 species